GGAUUAGAUACCCUGGUAGUCCACGCCGUAAACGAUGAACACUCGGUGUUGGCGGAUCGAUCCCGCAGUGCCUUAGCUAACGCGUUAAGUGUUCCGCCUGGGGAGUACGGUCGCAAGAUUAAAACUCAAAGGAAUAGACGGGGACCCACACAAGCGGUGGAGCAUGUUGUUUAAUUCGACACAAAACGGGGAACCUUACCAAGGCUUGACAUCCUAAGAAUCCGCUGGAAACAGUGGAGUGCCGCAAGGAGCUUAGUGACAGGCGCUGCAUGGUUGUCGUCAUCGUGCUGCU
rnacentral:rRNA from 1 species